rnacentral:rRNA from 1 species
UGGGGAAUCUUCCGCAAUGGGCGCAAGCCUGACGGAGCAACGCCGCGUGAGUGAAGAAGGCCUUCGGGUUGUAAAACUCUGUCAUCAGGGAAGAAGAAAGUGACGGUACCUGAGGAGGAAGCCCCGGCUAACUACGUGCCAGCAGCCGCGGUAAAACGUAGGGGGCGAGCGUUGUCCGGAAUUACUGGGCGUAAAGGGCGCGUAGGCGGUUAUCCAAGUCAGGGGUGAAAACCUUGGGCUCAACUCAGGGCCUGCCUCUGAAACUGGGUAACUUGAGGGGAGGAGAGGGGAGUGGAAUUCCCAGUGUAGCGGUGAAAUGCGUAGAUAUUGGGAGGAACACCAGUGGCGAAGGCGGCUCUCUGGCCUAACCCUGACGCUGAGGCGCGAAAGCGUGGGGAUCAAACAGG